CUCGUUUUCAUAUCAUAUAAAGGGACAUAACUGAAGAACAGUAAAAAUGACCCUACUAAAAUUUGUACUUUAUCUGUAGUUUGAUGUAAUAAACUGCUUCGCUGGGCACAGCUGGAAACAACUACAGAGGUUCAACUCUGAACAGUUGGGGCAAAUAUGGACACAAUAUUCAAGCUUGAUACAGGUCGGAAUUUGGAUUGCAAUUAAAUAUUUGACAUAUUACAGGUUUCUGAAUAAAU
rnacentral:lncRNA from 1 species